rnacentral:tRNA from 1 species
AAAUAAGAAACAAAAUUUGUGUUUAGUUUCGACCUAAAAUCUUGAUGUUAUACAUCCUUAUUUA